rnacentral:tRNA from 1 species
CAAAAUAGAGCAUGACAAAUGCGUAUCACUUACAAUGAUAAGAUAGACGUCAGUCUUAUUUUGA